rnacentral:rRNA from 1 species
GACGAACGCUGGCGGCGUGCCUAAUACAUGCAAGUUGAGCGAUGAAGAUUGGUGCUUGCACCAAUUUGAAGAGCAGCGAACGGGUGGGUAACGCGUGGGGAAUCUGCCUUUGAGCGGGGGACAACAUUUGGAAACGAAUGCUAAUACCGCAUAACAACUUUAAACAUAAGUUUUAAGUUUGAAAGAUGCAAUUGCAUCACUCAAAGAUGAUCCCGCGUUGUAUUAGCUAGUUGGUGAGGUAAAGGCUCACCAAGGCGAUGAUACAUAGCCGACCUGAGAGGGUGAUCGGCCACAUUGGGACUGAGACACGGCCCAAACUCCUACGGGAGGCAGCAGUAGGGAAUCUUCGGCAAUGGACGAAAGUCUGGCCGAGCAACGCCGCGUGAGUGAAGAAGGUUUUCGGAUCGUAAAACUCUGUUGGUAGAGAAGAACGUUGGUGAGAGUGGAAAGCUCAUCAAGUGACGGUAACUACCCAGAAAGGGACGGCUAACUACGUG